rnacentral:misc_RNA from 1 species
GAUGAGAACGUAGUAAAAUGCGAUAAGUAAUGUGAAUUGCAGAAUUCAGUGAAUCAUCGAAUCUUUGAACGCACAUUGCGCCCGCCAGUAUUCUGGCGGGCAUGCCUGUUCGAGCGUCAUUUCAACCCUCAAGCUCAGCUUGGUGUUGGGACUCGCGGUAACCCGCGUUCCCCAAAUCGAUUGGCGGUCACGUCGAGCUUCCAUAGCGUAGUAAUCAUACACCUCGUUACUGGUAAUCGUCGCGGCCACGCCGUAAAACCCCAACUUCUGAAUGUUGACCUCGGAUCAGGUAGGAAUACCCGCUGAACUUAAGCAUAUCAAUAAGCGGAGGA